GACGAACGCUGGCGGCGUGCUUAACACAUGCAAGUCGUACGGUAAGGCCCUUUCGGGGGUCCACGAGUGGCGCACGGGUGAGUAACACGUGCGUAACCUGCCCACAACUUUGGGAUAACGCUAGGAAACUGGUGCUAAUACUGGAUAUGUGCUCCUGCUGCAUGGUUGGGGUUGGAAAGCUCCGGCGGUUGUGGAUGGACUCGCGGCCUAUCAGCUUGUUGGUGGGGUAGUGGCCUACCAAGGCGGCGACGGGUAGCCGGCCUGAGAGGGUGACCGGCCACAUUGGGACUGAGAUACGGCCCAGACUCCGACGGGAGGCAGCAGUGGGGAAUAUUGCACAAUGGGCGCAAGCCUGAUGCAGGAACGCCGCGGGCGGGAUGACGGCCUUCGGGUUGUAAACCGCUUUCAGCAGGGACGAAGCUGUUUGUGACGGUACCUGCAGAAGAAGCACCGGCUAACUACGUG
rnacentral:rRNA from 1 species